GAAUCUCGGCUCACUGCAACCUCCGCCUCCUGGGUUCAAGCCAUUUUCCUGCCUCAGCCUCCCGCGUAGCUGGGACUACAGGCGCCCGCCACAACGCCCAGCUAAUUUUUUUGUAUUUUUAGUAGAGACAGGGUUUCACCAUGUUAGCUAGGAUGGUCUCGAUCUCCUGACCUGCUGAUCCGCCCGCCUCGGCCUCCGAAAGUGCUGGGAUUACAGACGUGAACCACCGCGCCCGGCCGCAUUUUGCUGCUUUUCAUAUGCUCAUGAGUAAUCACAACUGCAGCCUUUUGAGUGUUUACUAUGGGCUACGUAUAAUGUUGGGAAUCUUUCAUUUCCUUUAAUUUUUGGAACCACCCUAUGAGCUCCCGGUGUAAUUCUGAUGCUCAGCUAGACUUGGAAUCACUGGCUACUGUCUAUUUCUGUGUUCCUCUCUCAGCAGAAUAUUGGAAUUAAAAUGAUAGCGAAGACUGAAUGGCCAAAUGAUAGGAAUUCUACAGAAGUCUUCCUGUAUGAGGUUGUGGGAACAUGGGUGGUGCACAAAGAAAAUGGUCAGCUUGGAUUGUUUUUCAUUUAAUGCAUUUUUGGUACAAAAAUGUCUCAGUUUUUGUUGUUGCUUGUUUGUUUGACAUAGGGUCUCCCUCUGUCACCCAACUUCAAGGACAGUGGCUGGAUCACAGCUCACUGCACCCUCGAACACCCUGGCCCAAGCGAUCCUCCUGCCUCAACCUCCACAGUAGCUGGGAAUACAAGUACAUGCUACCACACCCAGUUUAUUUUUUAAUUUUUAGUAGAGACAGGCUGGUCUUGAAUUCUUGGGCUCAAGUGAUCCUUCCGCCUCAGCCUCCCAAAGUGCUGGGAUUACAGGCAUAAGCCACUGUGCCCAUCCUGAGUAUUUGUUUUAUAGAGUACUGUGGACAUCCAAUAGAUAUUGAUAAUUAUAUCAAUACUUUACCUGUGAAUCCAAACAAGUAGGACUACAUAUGGUGCAAUAUGGCUUUAAGUUAAAUAAAUGAUAUUGUCUUAAAUGUACCCCCAUACUUAAAAUAGCCAUAUGAAAAAAUACUGAUCUAUAUUGUUUCUUUUUCAUACACACACAUACAUUACAGAAUUUGUUUGUAAAAGCAAAGCACUAAUUACCUAACCACCUCAACACAAUGACUAUUUAAAAAUAUUUAUUUAUAUUAGAUCUCAAAACAAAUCUUCUAUUGUUCAUGUAAGUAAAUUUUCUUGAGUUUUUGUCCGAUUUUUAUAAUUCUGAAAACUAGUAAUACAUUUCACUUUUCUGUACACAGAUAUUUUUAUAAACUGCAAUAUGUUUGAAAGUAUUUUUUCCAUUAAAUAAAAGAGUAGUAUUAUG
rnacentral:lncRNA from 10 species